GGAGCUUCGACACGAGACAAGCGAAAAACAAGCCCGAAGUGAACAUUUAACGCGACGCAUCGUCACGCUUGGGGAUCGCAGCUGUCGCUCACGAGGACCGGAUGCAGCUCAAACAGCCUUUCCCUGUCCUCUGCAGCUGAGGCUGCUGACGGCCAGUGUAGUAGUUUUGUUGGUGUGUGUACGCGUGUGAGUGCAUGGGAGAGAGAUACUGGGCCCUUGUGUGCCUUGUAGUCUUUUCUUCAGCUUCAUCGGCUCCCUGAUGAUGCCGACCACAUUAGUGUGGUAUCAGAGUUGCUGCCCGACCCUGGGUGGGGAAGCCAGAGCGAUUGGCCGCUGCUGAUGCUGGCGGCCGGGCUCUGGAUGGGGCUGCGUCUGAACGACCUGCGGCAGCGUACACGCUUGCGCCAUCUGUAUGAUGCGCAACUUGUGAGAGUGACUCGAACGUAUCUAUCCCCCAGUCUUCACUACGCACAUUAGUGGGGGAAACCUGAGUGUCACCCUGAGAGGGGUGCACCGCGUGGCGAACGGCGAAAUGGGAGCUGCUGUGCGGCGACCUGCGCAGCGGGCGGAUGGUGGGUAGAGUUUGAGUCCAAAGCUGUGCUCAGGUGACUGAGUCGGCGCACUGCGGUACCGGGCGUGCCAACGGCUGCCUCGCGCGACGCGAUGAGGCCUGUGACGAGCCGCGGGUGGGUGGGGCAUAGUGGCGUUUGAAUCGUGGUGUAUGAC
rnacentral:misc_RNA from 1 species